rnacentral:rRNA from 1 species
GAUCAUGGCUCAGGAUGAACGCUAGCGACAGGCUUAACACAUGCAAGUCGAGGGGCAGCACGGGGUAGCAAUACCCCGUUGGCGACCGGCGCACGGGUGAGUAACACGUGUGCAACCAACCCCGUACCGGGAGAUAACCCGCGGAAACGUGGACUAACACCCCAUAAGACCUUUCCCCCGCAUGGGGGGGGAGUUUAAAACCCCCGGUGGUACGGGACGGGCACGCGCGACAUUAGGUAGUUGGCGGGGUAACGGCCCACCAAGCCGACGAUGUCUAGGGGUU